rnacentral:lncRNA from 1 species
GCCGCCAGCUGAUCGGAGCCUGGAGCCGGUGUGUGCUGGGUGCCGAGAAGAGACAGCGCCGCCGGCCGUGGGGAGCGGACGCAGUGAUUUGCUCCCCCUCGUGCAGCAACCCCCACACCCAGCACCAGGCCCCCAGAACUCUCCUUCCAGCUGAACUCCCUGGGAACAAGUCAGUUGGGCUGAUCACUGAACUCACAUUUCUGGACCUGAGGAGCCUGUUCCUCUCACGCCCUCACCUGGCUGAGCCGCAGUAGUUCUUCAGUGGCAAGCUUUAUGUCCUGACCCAGCUAAAGCUGCCAGUUGAAGAACUGUUGCCCUCUGCCCCUGGCUUCGAGGAGGAGGAGGAGCUGCUUUCCCCAUCAUCUGGAAGGCUUUCUGCCUCCGAGAUGUGGCACCAUAGUGCGGUGCCCUGUGGCUUCACCGCCCUACUUCCACCUCCGCCCAGCCUGUAAUGUUUAUAUAAGCAGCCUCAAGGACCAAGAACCAUCUGCGAAAGGACACACACAGGAAAUUCAUAAAAGAAAUCUGAAUGGAUAAAACCAUGAAAAAAAGUAUGCUUCAUUAGUAAUUAAAGAAAGGCAAAUAGAGCUGGAAGCAUUUUUCCCUUAGCAAACCAUAACAGAAAAAAAUAAGACCCAAUAUUGGCAAAGAGACUACUGAAAAAACAUUCCCAUACAUUGCGUGUGGGAGUAUACAUCGGUGCAGGCUUCCUGGAUGACAGUUGGGUGAUAUGUGUCAUGUGGCCUAAAAGCCUCCAUGUCAUUUGACCUACGAAUUCUAUCUUUGGGAAUUUAUCCUAAGAAAAUACUUAAGGAUUUAGUUAGUGAUAAGAUGUUCAUCCCAGCAUUGCAAUGGAGAAAAAUGGGAAGCAAUGGUUUGGUUGGGAAUUUAUUCCUUUUCUGCUGUAACGAAAGUUUGCAAUAGGGGAUUGCUUAAGUAAAUUAUUGUAUCUCCAUCCAGAUGGUGGAGUACCGCGCAGACAUUAAAAGUCAUGUAAAAGAACAUCUGACUGAAAGAAAAAUGCUCCUUGAAUAUUAAAAGGUUGUAAAAAUAGUGCAUGUUAUGUGAUUUCAAUUUUGUUUUUUAAAAUAUGGGUGUAUGCUUGUAUACGUAGAGCAGAUAAAAAAGACGGAAGGCAUACUAAAAAAUGUUGAGUGGUUAUCUUUGUAUGGUGGAACAAAGUCACUGUAAUUUUCAUCUUUGGUUUUUCUGUAAUUUCCAAAUUUUCCACAUUUUGUAUUUCAUAUAAUAUAAUUUAAGAGAUCA